CGAACGCUGGCGGCAGGCUUAACACAUGCAAGUCGAGCGAGACCUUCGGGUCUAGCGGCGGACGGGUGAGUAACGCGUGGGAACGUGCCCUUCUCUACGGAAUAGCCCCGGGAAACUGGGAGUAAUACCGUAUACGCCCUUUGGGGGAAAGAUUUAUCGGAGAAGGAUCGGCCCGCGUUGGAUUAGGUAGUUGGUGGGGUAAUGGCCCACCAAGCCGACGAUCCAUAGCUGGUUUGAGAGGAUGAUCAGCCACACUGGGACUGAGACACGGCCCAGACUCCUACGGGAGGCAGCAGUGGGGAAUCUUAGACAAUGGGGGCAACCCUGAUCUAGCCAUGCCGCGUGAGUGAUGAAGGCCUUAGGGUUGUAAAGCUCUUUCAGCUGGGAAGAUAAUGACGGUACCAGCAGAAGAAGCCCCGGCUAACUCC
rnacentral:rRNA from 1 species